rnacentral:ncRNA from 2 species
AUGGGAGAGGUUCGCGAACUCCCUCUAUAAAAAACUAUGAGAAC